AUAGUUAAUAAGUCUCACGAGAUCUGAAAGCAAGGGUUUCUGCUUUUGCUUCUUCCUCAUUUUUCUCUUUCCGCUGCCAUGUAAGAAGUGCCUUUUGCCUCCCACUAUCAUUCUGAGGCCUUCCCACCCAUGUGGAACUCUGAACUCACAAGAAAAUAAGGAAGACCUCCUGGAGGGAAAACAAGCAAGAACUGAAAACAAGUGCCGUCAGUGAAUGGAAUGAGGGAUACGAUGCAAGUCACGGAAGAAGAGUUUCCAAUUACACCAUGGCGGAGAAGAAAGAAAGAAAAUGACACAACCACACGUACCACAGCUCAGAGUUUCAAAGACCACGUUAAGAUUUCUCAAGCAUGUACCCUGUGACAGUCACUUCACUAAAAAUCAGAAACUCAAACAUGGAACUGGAUGCUAGUUCUGUCCUCAAGAAGCUCAGAGUCUUUCAGAAAAAGAGGAGCCGUGAGACAAAUUACCAAGUGCAAGCUCAGAAGCCUUGCGUUUGUGGUGAGAGAUGAAGAGGGAGUUUGUAAAGAUGUGAAAGCAGGGUCUUUCUCCUUGAAGUUCUGGGGAGGAAUUGUAAAUCUGUUUGUCUAUUGCCAAAGAAUACUUGCCUUGGAAACUAGAGAGAGCCUCAGAUUCAGUCUCAGUGAUAAAGUGCUUCUAAACUGGGUCAGGGACAAAAACAAAGGACAGACGAUACCAUAAAUAAUGAACUUAUGGGGCAGAAAGUGUCAGCUCAAGUAUUUAGAGGCUCUCUACAAGGAAAAGGAAACUAGGAAUGUAAUGAUUUCAUGAGAGGUUUUGGAAGCCUUCAAAAUCAAUAAAUCAAUUAAUUAUUUAGUUCAGUACUUUUCUCUCUUACUAGCAUAUUAUGAUUUCCCCAACUUCAUCUCUCCCUGGUCAUAUCUGUCCUCUACAAUAUUCCAAGGUUGAUCUUUCUGGGAUAAUAUUUUGAUCUUGUUACUCUCCUUUUAAGAAUAAAGGUAAAAUUUAAAUGGUCAUUUGAGGUCAUUUUAACUGUAUUCUGUGUUUUAAGAAGCCCUCCAACUGAUUCUGAUGCAUAGUAAGUUUUGGGAAUUAAUCACUAUAUGGCUUAUCUCUUCCACAAAAGAAGUAUAUUCUCCCAGGACAAGAGUCUUCCCUAAUGCACCCCUGUAGCCCCUCAGCUCAGUGGCUAAGCACAUGGCAGGUGUUCAAGAAAUUAUGGAAAGGUAAGAUGCAUCUUCUGAGCAGAGGCUGCUUGUCAAGUGGAAGGCUGGGUGCUGUGAGGAAUAGAGGAGAAUUAGAUGAAUUACUGUGCAUUAGUUUAGAUUCUACUGGAGGCGACAAAACCAAGACAUACAGCAAGUGAGAAUAACUAAGUGCUGAUCCAUAGCGUGCAGUAACAACGCAACACAAGCACAGAAGAGGAAAAGAGGUGCUGGGGGGUUUAAUUGUAGGUCCUUAUAUGACUGAACCCUUC
rnacentral:lncRNA from 10 species